rnacentral:rRNA from 1 species
AACGAACGCUGGCGGCAGGCCUAAUACAUGCAAGUCGAACGCACCGCAAGGUGAGUGGCAGACGGGUGAGUAACGCGUGGGAACCUUCCUAGUAGUACGGAAUAACUCCGGGAAACCGGUGCUAAUACCGUAUAAGCCCUCCGGGGGAAAGAUUUAUCGCUACUAGAUGGGCCCGCGUCGGAUUAGCUUGUUGGUGAGGUAAUGGCUCACCAAGGCUUCGAUCCGUAGCUGGUCUGAGAGGAUGAUCAGCCACACUGGGACUGAGACACGGCCCAGACUCCUACGGGAGGCAGCAGUGGGGAAUCUUGCGCAAUGGGCGAAAGCCUGACGCAGCGACGCCGCGUGAGGGAUGACGGCCU